UACGUAGGGGGCUAGCGUUGUCCGGAUUUAUUGGGCGUAAAGAGCGUGUAGGCGGCCAGGUAGGUCUGCUGUGAAAACUCGAGGCUCAACCUCGAGACGUCGGCGGAAACCAUCUGGCUAGAGUCCGGAAGAGGAGAGUGGAAUUCCUGGUGUAGCGGUGAAAUGCGCAGAUAUCAGGAAGAACACCGGUGGCGAAGGCGGCCUUCUGGACAGUGACUGACGCUGAGACGCGAAAGCAUGGGGAGCGAACAGG
rnacentral:rRNA from 1 species